CCUGAUGAACGGCCUCAGAACACAAAGGAUCUUUGAUCGUCCAGAGGACAGAAAAUACCUCACGUUUGACAGUGCUGUACUGAUGCUUUUUACAUGAAUGUUUUCUCAAAACACAUUUUUCAUUUUGUUACUUUUCCACAAGAACAUCUUGUGUUUAGGAUUCAAGCUAAAAUAAAAUCCUGUUACACUUCUUUCCUCCUAAUAAUGAUGUGACAGCUGUUAGUUAAUGUGGUAUUUAUUGUACAAGAGAUGAUGAAUACUUCUAUGCGGGAAGGAUGAUUGUAACUUCUAUAGUUCAUGGUGGCCCAGGCCCUGGAUUCUUGUCUGACAUGCUCUUCCAGCACCUGACAGGAAGAACAAACACUGGCACUGAAGCCAAGCUGGAAGAUAUAACUGAUGAUACCAUGAGAGCUUCCUGCUUGAGCCACACUGGAAGAACUACAUGCUUCGAUUGACAGACGUUCCAGCUGCUGCAGACUGCUGCUUGCUUUCAGCACCCUGACAGAGUGGAUAGUAAAAAUAACAUCAUAAAGGAUUUCAUGCAGUGGUGCAUCAUUUACUGCAACCAUUUCCCAAUACAAAGGUAACUUCUCUGCAUCAUUUUAAAGAGAAUUUCAUUUUCAGUUGAGUUUGCUUUAAUAAAGUAAUUGGCAUUUAACAUAUCUUUGUCUAUGUAAAAUGGGAAAUAUUUAGGUAAUAACAUAUUGGUAGUUAAAUACUGUAUGGACCCAAAUAUUAUAUGAUCGUGAUUUUGAGGCGACCUUUAAAGACAAACAUUCAGAAUAAGACUCUGAUUACCGUUGUUUUAUUUUGUUGUUUGUU